ACUGUGGGCGUGCGGGCGAUACGGGCAGACUGGAGUACUGCAGGGGAGACUGGAAUUCCUGGUGUAGCGGUGGAAUGCGCAGAUAUCAGGAGGAACACCGGUGGCGAAGGCGGGUCUCUGGGCAGUAACUGACGCUGAGGAGCGAAAGCGUGGGGAGCGAACAGGAUUAGAUACCCUGGUAGUCCACGCCGUAAACGGUGGGUACUAGGUGUGGGUUUCCUUCCUUGGGAUCCGUGCCGUAGCUAACGCAUUAAGUACCCCGCCUGGGGAGUACGGCCGCAAGGCUAAAACUCAAAGGAAUUGACGGGGGCCCGCACAAGCGGCGGAGCAUGUGGAUUAAUUCGAUGCAACGCGAAGAACCUUACCUGGGUUUGACAUGCACAGGACGGCGCUAGAGAUAGUGCUUCCCUUG
rnacentral:rRNA from 1 species